rnacentral:rRNA from 1 species
CAGUAGCCGCGGUAAUACAGAGGGUGCAAGCGUUAAUCGGAAUUACUGGGCGUAAAGCGUGCGCAGGCGGUUAUAUAAGACAGAUGUGAAAUCCCCGGGCUCAACCUGGGACCUGCAUUUGUGACUGUAUAGCUAGAGUACGGCAGAGGGGGAUGGAAUUCCGCGUGUAGCAGUGAAAUGCGUAGAUAUGCGGAGGAACACCGAUGGCGAAGGCAAUCCCCUGGACCUGUACUGACGCUCAUGCACGAAAGCGUGGGGAGCAAACAGGAUUAGAUACCCGCGUAGUCCCUGUCUCUUAUAC